rnacentral:rRNA from 1 species
AGCCUGAUGCAGCGACGCCGCGUGAGGGAUGAAGGCCUUCGGGUUGUAAACCUCUUUCAGUAGGGAAGAAGCGAAAGUGACGGUACCUGCAGAAGAAGCGCCGGCUAACUACGUGCCAGCAGCCGCGGUAAUACGUAGGGCGCAAGCGUUAUCCGGAAUUAUUGGGCGUAAAGAGCUCGUAGGCGGUUUGUCGCGUCUGCCGUGAAAGUCCGGGGCUUAACUCCGGAUCUGCGGUGGGUACGGGCAGACUUGAGUGAUGUAGGGGAGACUGGAAUUCCUGGUGUAGCGGUGAAAUGCGCAGAUAUCAGGAGGAACACCGAUGGCGAAGGCAGGUCUCUGGGCAUUAACUGACGCUGAGGAGCGAAAGCAUGGGGAGCGAACAGGAUUAGAUACCCUGGUAGUCCAUGCCGUAAACGUUGGGCACUAGGUGUGGGGGACAUUCCACGUUUUCCGCGCCGUAGCUAACGCAUUAAGUGCCCCGCCUGGGGAGUACGGCCGCAAGGCUAAAACUCAAA